GACGAACGCUGGCGGCGUGCUUAACACAUGCAAGUCGAACGGAAAGGCCCUGCUUUUGUGGGGUGCUCGAGUGGCGAACGGGGGAGUAACACGUGAGUAACCUGCCCUUGACUUUGGGAUAACUUCAGGAAACUGGGGCUCAUACCGGAUAGGAGCUCCUGCUGCAUGGUGGGGGUUGGAAAGUUUGGGCGGUUGGGGAUGGACUAGCGGGUUAUCAGCUUGUUGGUGGGGUAGUGGCUUACCAAGGCUUGGAAGGGUAGCCGGCCUGAGAGGGUGACCGGCCACACUGGGACUGAGAUACGGCACAGACUCCUACGGGAGGCAGCAGUGGGGAAGAUUGCACAAUGGGCGGAAGCCUGACGCAGCAACGCCGCGUGCGGGAUGACGGCCUUCGGGUUGUAAACCGCUUUCGCCUGAGACGAAGCGUGAGUGACGGUAACGGGUAAAGAAGCACCGGCUAACUACGUG
rnacentral:rRNA from 1 species